AAGCACGGCUAUACCAAACUGAAAAUGCUCCAUUCCAUUCGAUCUCUGAAGCUAAGCAAGGUCGGGUCUGAUUGGUCUUGACUAGUCCUAGGAUAGGAGACCACUUGUGCCAC
rnacentral:rRNA from 1 species